rnacentral:tRNA from 1 species
GCCUGGGUGGCUUAGUUAGUUAAGCGUCCGACUUCAGCUCAGGUCAUGAUCUGACAGUCCGUGGGUUCAAGCCCCACAUCAGGCU